AGAGUUUGUUAUGGCUAGGACGAACGCUGGCGGUGUGCUAAACACGCAGUCAGGAGCACUUAUUUUCGGAUAUAUAGUAACUGGCGAACGGGUGAGUAAGCGUAAUAACUUGCUUCGGAGAUCGGGAAACAUCGGGAAAUAGUGCUAAUACUAAAUAAUGCAGCGGGCUUUUUGGGGCAUAGUUGUCAAGUAGGCUUUGGCUUACACUUUGAGAUAGAUUUGCGUUCGAUAGUUAGUUGAUAGGGUAAUAGCUUACCUGACCGAGAUUGGUAGCUGGUCUGAGAGGAUGAUUAGCUACACUGGAAUGAGAUACGGUCUAGAAUUUUACGGGAGGCAGCAGUGAGGAAAUUUUCACAAGGGCGAAAACUUGAUGCAGCAACACUGCGUGAUUUAUGAUGUCUUAGAAUGUAAUAUUUUUGUAAGGGAUGAAUGUUCGGAGUUAAACUAUUUUUUACUUACGGUAUUUAAAAGUGGAUGGCUAAACUUCUGCCAGCAGCCCCGGUAA
rnacentral:rRNA from 1 species